rnacentral:rRNA from 1 species
AAAAAGAGCGUAUGGUGGAUGCCUUGGUUUGAAGAGGCGAUGAAGGGCGUGGCGUGACUGCGAUAAGCCUCGGGGAGGUGUCUAGCAACCUUUGAUCCGGGGAUUUCCGAAUGAGGCAACUCAAUCUCAAUAAAAUGGGAUUACUCCGACCUUAGGUCGGAGAGCGUACCCGCUGAAGUGAAACAUCUCAGUAAGCGGAGGAAAAGAGAACAAUAGUUUAUUCCCCCAGUAGCGGCGAGCGAAAAGGGAAGAGCCUAAACCUGAAAUAAAACUUCGUUAGCAAAAUGGCCCUGGAAAGGCCAACCAAAGAAGGUAAUAGUCCUGUAGGCGAAAACGGUUUUAUACUUCUAAUUAUUAUCCCGCAUUUUGCGGGACCCCGCCAUCGGCGGUGGUUCUUAAGUACUUCGACGCAUGAAUGGGUCGGAGGAAUCAGGGAGAACUAACUCCCAAGGCUAAAUACUCUUCAAAACCGAUAGUGAACUAGUACCGUGAGGGAAAGGUGAAAAGCAGCCCGGUGAGGGCGAUGAAAUAGUACCUGAAACCAUGCGCUUACAAGGAAUCAGAGCCCCGCUUCGGCGGGGUGAUGGUGUGCCUAUUGAAGAAUGAGCCAACGAGUUAUUUUGCGUUGCUUAUCUAACCCCGCUUAGCGGGGGGAGGUUUAGCGAAAGCGAGUCUUAAUAGGGCGAAUCUUUAACUUGGAAACUAAGUUCCCGUUUGGAAACUUAGUUUCCUCGGAUAAAGAACGCAGCGCGAAAUAGACCCGAAACCAGGUGAGCUUACCAUGGCCAGGGUGAACCCCGUCGAAGGACGGGGGGAGGCCCGAACCGGUUGGCCGUGCAAUACCAUCGGAUGAGUUGUGGUAAGGAGUGAAAAACUAAUCGAACCUGGUAAUAGCUGGUUCUCUCCGAAAUAGCUUUAGGGUUAGCGUCCUGUCAAAAUUUCCGGGGUAGAGCUACUGGAUGAAAAGAAUAGGGGGAAACCUCGUUUUUUCAACCAAACUCCGAAUACGGAACCUCAAUAUGUUGAUAUUUCUAUAUAUUGAAAGGCAGGGCAGUUAGACCGUGGGGGCGAAGCUUCACUGGUCAAAAGGGGAACAGCCCGAAUCUCCAUCUAAGGUCCCUAAAUUUCUUCGACGUAAAGUCGGAGCUUCGACCUCGCAAGAGCGUCGGAGCGGCUAAGUGCGCUUAAGGUAGUCUUAUUUCAGAGAUAACGAGGAGGUUGGCUUAGAAGCAGCCACCCUUUAAAGAGUGCGUAACAGCUCACUCGUUAAGAAAUUUGGCGCCGAAAAUACUCGGGGCUAAGCCGAAUACCGAAGGUGAGAACGAUGGUAGGAGAGUAUUUUCAACUGCUGUGAAGUCCACGCCGCGAGGCGGGAUGGAGCGUUGAGAAGUAAAAAUGUUGGCACAAGUAACCGCAAUGCCGGUGAGAUCCCGGCAUGCCGAAAGUCUAAGGUUUCCUUGGCAAUGGUGAUCAUCCAAGGGUUAGUCGGGCCUAAGGCAAUGGCGAAAGCCGCAGCUGAUGGACAUACGGUUAAUAUUCCGUAACUUCUUUGUUUUUUGAUGAAGCGACGGAUGAAAUAAAAAAGAGCGCAUUAUUGGAUUUGCGCUGCCGGCCAAUAGAGAUUUUUCUCAGGAAAAUCCGGGAAGAUGAUUAAAUUCAAAUCUCGAGGUUGGCAAAAUUUUUGUCUUCGGACAGGAAAAUUCUUUUGAAUAGCGUUCCAAGAAAAACUUCUAAAAUUAUGAACAAAGGACCCGUACCGCAAUCCGACACAGGUAGACUAGUCGAGAAGACUAAGGCAAACGGGUGAGUUCUUCCCAAGGAACUCGGCAAAAAAGCGAUCGUAAGUUAGCGAUAAGAUCUCCCCGACUUCGGUCGGGGCGCAGCGAAAGUACCCCUGGCGACUGUUUAUCAAAAACACAGCUCCCUGCGAACUCGUAAGAGGAUGUAUAGGGGGUGACGCCUGACCAAUGCGAGAAGUUAAAUGCCGAUGGUGGCUUUGCGCAAGCGAAACUGCUGGUUGGUAUAAGCCCUCGUCAAUGUCGGCCGUAACUAUAACGGUCCUAAGGUAGCGAAAUUCCUUGUCUGGUAAGUUCAGACGUGCACGAAUGGCGUAACGACUGGGGGACUGUCUCGGGAAGAAGCCCGGUGAAAAUACAAUGCCCGUGAAGAUGCGGGCUACCUGCAGCUAGACGAAAAGACCCCAGAAGCUUUACUGCAGCUUGAUAUUGAAUUUAAGUUUUGGAUGCGUAGCAUAGGCGGGAGGCGUUGAGUCCUUGCUUUCGGGCGGGGAGGAGCCGACAGUGAAAUACCGCUCUUCUAAAAUUUAUAUUCUAACCUCGGCGGAAAAAACGCCAAGAGACAGUAUCUGGUGGGCAGUUUUGCUGGGGCAGCAUUCUCCUAAAAAGUAAUGGAGAAGUUUAUUAAGGUCAGCUAGGCGCGGAUGGAAAUCGUGCCGGUCGUGCAAUGGCAUAAGCUGGCUUAACUGUAAGGCGUACAUGCCGAGCAGAUGCGAAAGCAGAACAUAGCGAACUGCUUGUUGGCAUUAGAUGCUGCAAGCAAUUAACGGAUAAAAGUUACUCUGGGGAUAACAGGCUGGUCGGACCCGCGAGUCCAUAUCUACGGUCCGGUUCGGCACCUCGAUGUCGGCUCAACUUAUCCUGGGGCUGGAGAAGGUCCCAAGGGUUUGGCUGUUCGCCAAUUAAAAAGUUACGUGAGCUGGGUUCAAACCGUGUGAGACAGGUUGGUCUCCUAUCUGCUGCAGGCGUUAGUUCCAGUCAAAUCCUUCGGGAUUUACCGCUGGAACGUUGAUACUUGAGAGGGGUCUCAGAUAGUACGAGAGGACCUCUGAGAGCGAACCUCUGGUCUACCGGCUUUCGCGCCAGCGGAACCGCCGGGUAGCUAAGUUCGUAACUGAUAAGCGCUGAAAGCAUAUAAGCGCGAAGCAGGCCUCAAGAUUAGGUAUUUUAGAUUCCUCGAAGAUUACGAGGUUGAUAGGCUCUAGGUGUAAGACCAGCAAUGGUUUUAGCCGAGGAGUACUAAUAAAUC